GAUGAAGAACGAAGUGAAAUGCGAUAAGUAGUGUGAAUUGCAGAAUUCAGUGAAUCAUCGAAUCUUUGAACGCACAUUGCGCCCCUUGGUAUCCCGAGGGGCAUGCCUGUUCGAGCGUCAUUUCACCACUCAAGCCUGGCUUGGUGUUGGGCGACGUCCCCUUUGGGGACGCGCCUCGAAACGCUCGGCGGCGUGGCACCGGCUUUAAGCGUAGCAGAAUCUUUCGCUUUGGAAGUCGGGGCCCCGUCUGCCGGAAGACCUACUCGCAAGGUUGACCUCGGAUCAGGGAGGGAUACCCGCUGAACUUAAGCAUAUCAAUAAGCGGAGGA
rnacentral:misc_RNA from 1 species